rnacentral:rRNA from 1 species
UGUGUAGGCGGCCUAUUAAGUUCCGUGUGAAAUCUCCCGGCUUAACCGGGAGGGUGCGCGGAAAACUGGCGGGCUAGAGUACGGGAUGGGAGAGUAGAAUUCCUGGUGUAGCGGUGAAAUGCGUAGAUAUCAGGAGGAAUACCGGUGGUGUAGACGGCUCUCUGGACCGUAACUGACGCUGAAACACGAAAGCGUGGGUAGCAAACAGGAUUAGAUACCCUGGUAGUCCACGCCCUAAACGAUGCAUAUUUGGUGUAGGCAGUUCAUUCUGUCUGUGCCGGAGCUAACGCGUUAAAUAUGCCGCCUGGGGAGUACAGUCGCAAGGCUGAA